GACGAACGCUGGCGGCGUGCUUAAUACAUGCAAGUCGAACGGAAAGGCCCUGCUUUUGUGGGGUGCUCGAGUGGCGAACGGGUGAGUAACACGUGAGUAACCUGUCCUUGACAGUGGGGUAACUUCAGGAAAAUGGGGCUAAUACCGGAUAGGAGCUCCUGCUGCAUGGUGGGGGUUGGAAAGUUUCGGCGGUUGGGGAUGGACUCGCGGCUUAUCCGCUUGUUGGUGGGGUAGGCGCUUACAAAGGCUUUGAAGGGUAGCCGGCAUGGGAGGGCAACCGGCGUCAAUGCGACUGCGAGACGGAGCAGAAGCCAACGGGAGGCAACAGUGGAGAGUCUUGCACAGUGGGCGCAAGCCUGAUGCAACAACGCCGCGUGCGGAAUGACGGCUUUCGGGGUAUAAACCGCUUUGUCCUGUGACGUGGCCUGAGUGACGGUACUGAGUAAAGAAGCACCGGCUAACCACGUG
rnacentral:rRNA from 1 species